UACGUAGGUGGCAAGCGUUGUCCGGAUUUACUGGGCGUAAAGAGCGCGCAGGCGGUCGUUCAAGUCGCGUGUGAAAGCCCCCGGCUCAACUGGGGAGGGUCACGCGAUACUGAUCGACUCGAAGGCAGGAGAGGGAAGUGGAAUUCCCGGUGUAGUGGUGAAAUGCGUAGAUAUCGGGAGGAACACCAGUGGCGAAGGCGACUUCCUGGCCCGGUACUGACGCUGAGGUGCGAAAGCGUGGGGAGCAAACAGG
rnacentral:rRNA from 1 species